GCCCUGUUGGCGUAGUGGUAGCGCGUCGCACUUGUAUGCGUUCUAGUUCGGCGAUACAUGCGAAGGUCAUUCGUUCAAUCCGGGUACAGGGCA